AUUGAACGCUGGCGGCAGGCUUAACACAUGCAAGUCGAACGAGUGGCGGACGGGUGAGUAAUGCUUGGGCAUCUAGCUUAUGGAGGGGGAUAACUACGGGAACCUGUAGCAACUACUGCGUACAAUAGGAUGGGCCCAAGUGGGAUUAGGUAGUUGGUGUGGUAAAGGCUCACCAAGCCGAAGAUCUCUAGCGGGUCUGAGAGGCUGACCAGCCACACUGGGACUGAGACACGGCCCAGACUCCUACGGGAGGCAGCAGUGGGGAAUAUUGCGCAAUGGGGGCAACCUGACGCAGCCAUGCCGCGUGAGUGAAGAAGGCCUUCGGGUUGUAAAGUUCUGUCGGUAGCGAGGCGUUAACUACAGAGGAAGCACCGGCUAACUCCGUGCCAGCCGCCGCGGUAAUUC
rnacentral:rRNA from 1 species